rnacentral:rRNA from 1 species
GUAACGCGUGGGAACCUACCUUUAGGUACGGAACAACAGUUGGAAACGACUGCUAAUACCGUAUGUGCCCUAUGGGGGAAAGAUUUAUCGCCUAAGGAUGGGCCCGCGUUGGAUUAGCUAGUUGGUGGGGUAAAGGCCUACCAAGGCGACGAUCCAUAGCUGGUCUGAGAGGAUGAUCAGCCACACUGGGACUGAGACACGGCCCAGACUCCUACGGGAGGCAGCAGUGGGGAAUAUUGGACAAUGGGCGCAAGCCUGAUCCAGCCAUGCCGCGUGAGUGAUGAAGGCCCUAGGGUUGUAAAGCUCUUUCAGCGAGGAGGAUAAUGACGUUACUCGCAGAAGAAGCCCCGGCUAACUUCGUGCCAGCAGCCGCGGUAAUACGAAGGGGGCUAGCGUUGUUCGGAAUCACUGGGCGUAAAGCGCACGUAGGCGGACUUUUAAGUCAGGGGUGAAAUCCCGGGGCUCAACCCCGGAACUGCCUUUGAUACUGGAAGUCUUGAGUCCGAGAGAGGUGAGUGGAACUCCGAGUGUAGAGGUGAAAUUCGUAGAUAUUCGGAAGAACACCAGUGGCGAAGGCGGCUCACUGGCUCGGUACUGACG